AGCACAUCAACACACCAAAUGGAGCUGAAGUUUGAAUUUAUGAUCUAAAAGAUGAAGGAGUCACUGGACUGGAGGGUCACAGCUGUCAAGAGAACACACAAGCAAGAGAACACUUGAUUGGCAUGUACUAUGACUGGCUUGCACCCCUAACACUACAAAUACAAAAGUCAAGGGUUUGGGCCAAGCAUCUUUAAAUGCAAAAAUAUCCUUAUUCAACAAAGAUUAAUUAGACAUUGUGGUU